rnacentral:rRNA from 1 species
CGUGUAGGCGGUUGUCCAAGUUGGAUGUGAAAGCCUUGAGCUUAACUCAAGAAAUGCAUUCAGGACUGGAUGACUAGAGGACCGGAGAGGAUAGUGGAAUUCCCAGUGUAGUGGUGAAAUACGUAGAGAUUGGGAAGAACACCAGUGGCGAAGGCGGCUAUCUGGACGGUUUCUGACGCUAAGACGCGAAAGCGUGGGAGCAAACA